CACAGAUUGUCAUUCAAACGAUUCAAAGUCUGAAAGGAACCCAUGAGUCACUGAGCUCCAAUGGUUCUGGUUUGCUGUGUUUCUGCAGAAAGAAAUACAACGUUCAAGGAGAGAAGAGUCCUGGACACCCCAAGUUUUUGUACAGAGGAGAGACCUGCGGCGUGACUUUUAAUUGCCCAAAACUGGGUCUGCCGUGUGACGCUUUUCCAUGAGGGUGAUCAUGCCGAAUGCUGACUGGAUGAGGAUACUGAGUGGGCGGGGCCUACUAUGGCCCUCCGGGUCCAGCAGGAUCAUCCCUACGGUGUAAAGUCUAGGGAGGUGUGUGAGCGCCUGUUUUGGGUGAGAAUUAGCCAGCUUUAUUUUCUCGCUUUGGUCUGUAAUCUCUUAAUCUCACCAAUUGAGUGAGAGGGGUUUGGCCUUCUGUGCGGAUCCUCUGCUUCUUCCAAGCUGUUGAACGGCACAGCGGGGCCCUCUUGGAGCUGUUUGCUUUCCUUCUCAACCUUCAUUACGAGAAAAAUGCCCGGUCUUCGAUGAACUCGCAAUUCAAGAGAAACGCGUGUUAUUUUUUUCUUCGCAAUCACCAGUGAGGUGAUUUUAUCGAGUCUUUCCUGAACUCCCCAAACUGUGCUUACGAAGAUAAAAACAAACGGUAGCAUUUAAUUGCGUUUAAAAAUGUUCUAAAUCCGUCGAAUUAAAAGCUUUGCUUCAACUU